CACCUGCCGCCGCUGUUAGCCCGCCCCUCGCCCGCCCCGCCCGCGCCCCGCUCCUCCGGCCGGCCGGCCGCGGAGGCGGCGGUGGGAAGCCGGGGUGGGGCCCGCGGCCCAUCCCCGCCGCUCUGCCCCGCUGAGGGGGCUGCGCCCAGCGGGGCUUCCAAGCCCCACCCUGCACUUCAGAUAAUUCUGCCCUUUGGGAAAACACUGAUAUCAAGCACACUUCCUUCAGAAAUGAAGUUGGAUCUGUACAAGUCAUAAAAUCGGGCACGUACUUAUGCAGCAGCGCCAACAGCCAGCAUCAAACAUCAGUGAGCAAAGCCAUGGGCUCUCAAGUGCGUGGUCUUGAAGACCAAGUAGGUCUCUGCAGCACAGAGCUGUCAGGGGCUUAAACAAAGGCACUCUAAGUAGAGGCAAGCAGGUGCAUCCCCCUACUUCCCGAGAUCCAGCAGCAGCGCGCCCCCGCGGCUGGGGAGAGCCCACCGCCUGCCCUGCUGUCAUACCCGGCAGCCGCAGCACUGGGGACAGCUGCGGCAGGGCCGUACCCAGCACUGAGUCCCCGAACC